GUUUUCAUUAAUCAAGAACGAAAGUUAGGGGAUCGAAGACGAUCAGAUACCGUCGUAGUCUUAACCAUAAACGAUGCCGACCAGCGAUUAGGAGACGUUGAAUACAAAACACCACCAUCGGCGCGGUCGUCCUUGGCUGGUCGUCCUCACGGGGCGGCCGGCGGGGGCGGCUUAGCCCGAUGGCACCGGUGAAU
rnacentral:rRNA from 1 species